rnacentral:lncRNA from 1 species
GGCAUGGAAGAAGAGGAGUCCUCUGAGAAGGAACUCCAUGCCAAAUUUAUUUGGGACAUCCCCUCUUUUUGUGCAUUGAAAUAGAAGAGUCCAUUUCAUAUCAAACUCUUAAAUUCUUUUUAUUUCUCCAUGCAUUUUUUAAUUUCUCAUGUCAUGGGAUGGCCCUUGGGAUUGUGGGCACAGAAGAGAAGGAAGAGUCCUUCU